AUCAUCUGGGCAUCUUGUUAAAAUGCAGAUUCUGUUUCAGAAGGUCCGGGUGGGCCUGGGACUCUGCAUUUCUAACCAGUAUCCCAGUGACGCUGA
rfam:Ovis aries breed Texel chromosome 5, whole genome shotgun sequence.